CACGUCACGACGGGAGAACCGGGUUAUCCGGUGCCGAAGGAGCAACCGCCCCGGAAACUCUCAGGCCCAAGGGACCGUCGCGACCAA
rnacentral:ncRNA from 2 species